rnacentral:rRNA from 1 species
GACGAACGCUGGCGGCGUGCUUAACACGUGCAAGUCGAACGGUAAGGCCCUUCGGGGUACACGAGUGGCGAACGGGUGAGUAACACGUGGGUGAUCUGCCCUGCACUUCGGGAUAAGCCUGGGAAACUGGGUCUAAUACCGGAUAGGACUCCGGACUGCAUGGUCUGGGGUGGAAAGCUUUUGCGGUGUGGGAUGGGCCCGCGGCCUAUCAGCUUGUUGGUGGGGUGAUGGCCUACCAAGGCGACGACGGGUAGCCGGCCUGAGAGGGUGACCGGCCACACUGGGACUGAGAUACGGCCCAGACUUCUACGGGAGGCAGCAGUGGGGAAUAUUGCACAAUGGGCGCAAGCCUGAUGCAGCGACGCCGUGUGAGGGAUGACGGCCUUCGGGUUGUAAACCUCUUUCAGCAUCGACGAAGCGAAAGUGACGGUAGGUGCAGAAGAAGGACCGGCCAACUACGUGCCAGCAGCCGCCGUAA